rnacentral:rRNA from 1 species
CAAUAGCGUAUAUUUAAGUUGCUGCAGUUAAAAAGCUCGUAGUUGGAUUUCGGGUGGGAAUGGCCGGUCCGCCGUUUCGGUGUGCACUUGCUACGCCCACCUUGCUGCCGGGGACGUGCUCUUGAGUUCACGCUCGGGACACGGAGUCGGCGAGGUUACUUUGAGUAAAUUAGAGUGUUCAAAGCAGGCCUACGCUCUGAAUACAUUAGCAUGGAAUAACACGAUAGGACUCUGGCCUAUCUUGUUGGUCUGUAGGACCGGAGUAAUGAUUAAGAGGGACAGUCGGGGGCAUUCGUAUUUCGUUGUCAGAGGUGAAAUUCUUGGAUUUACGAAAGACGAACUUCUGCGAAAGCAUUUGCCAAGGAUGUUUUCAUUAA